AUGAUGAUGAUGAUGAUGAUGAUUAUUAUAAUAAUUUAUCUUACGUUUCAGGUGCCGGUUAGUGCUAUUAUUAGGGCCAGUCAUAGUCAGAGUGACAUGAGGUACAGGAAGUUCUCCAGGAACCACCAGUGUACCUGCAUGUCCCUGACUUUUCUGGCUUAUCAGAACGAGGGCCGUCAGUUGAACAGUGCUGCCCUCGAUAGAGUGCUGGCAAAGGGAGAUUCACUUUAUGUAGGUGUAAAACGACAGCUGAUCCGGGAAAAAAGAUUCCACAGUGACCAUCUCACUGUGGAAGAACUGCCCAAACAAGUCCUGACAGACACAGAUAUGUUUCACUUCCACUGGCCUGAAAUCAGGUGUGGACCUGUGAAAGCCAGUGGAAGCCAGGCUUGGGGUCUGCCCCUUGCCACACAGUUGGAGUGUCUGUCAGGUGAAGUUAAUCUGGCUUUAAUCAUAGUAAGUCCAGAAUGUAUUGCAGUUUUCCGUGACCAAUCAGGCAGGUAUGGUGUGUUUGAUUCACACUCAAGAAACGCGGUGGGCUUACCUCACCCCCACGGAACUGCAAUUAUGAAGACCUUCUCAGAAAUCAGUGACUUGGCUAACCACCUGCACAAACUCUUUGCAAAUCGCAGACCUUUUGCCAGUUAUGAGUUUGUGCCAGUGUCAUUCAAAGCCAUUGGUUCCAGAGAACGCCCUCAGGCAUCUCUGGCACACAGUGUAUCCAUUACAGCUCUCCCACCAGCAGCAGAGUGCGUCCUCAAGACGGCUCCUGCACCACCAGCAGCAAAGUGCGUCCUCAAGACGGCUCCUGCACCACCAGCAGCAGAGCGCGUCGUCAAGACGGCUCCUGCACUAGCAGCAGCAGAGCGCGUCGUCAAGACGGCUCCUGCACCGCCAGCAGCAGAGUGCGUCGUCAAGACGGCUCCUGCACCGCCAGCAGCAGAGUGCGUCGUCAAGACGGCUCCUGCACCACCAGCAGCAGAGCGCGUCGUCAAGACGGCUCCUGCACCACCAGCAAAAGAAUAUUUCACAAAGUUGCCAAAGCAACAGCGAAGAAAAGCGAUGCAGAAAGCCAGCCAAAAACAACACACAUUGUCUGGUGAACAAAAAAAGAAAAAAAUCCAAAAUCCAAUGAAAAAGUACAGCAGCUGCCCAGAAUUUAGGAGAAAAAAACUCCAAGCACAAAGGAGAAGAUAUGGCCAAGAAAUUCUCCAUCAGAAACAGCGAUCCUUCAAACGUUACCAUGAAAAUGCAAAAGUUCAAGACGAGAAGAAGGAAGAAGUCGUCAGAAGAUACAGGGAAGAUGCUACUUUCAGGAGACGACAGAAGACUUGUAUCACAGAGAAAUACAAGGAAGACGCCACGUUCCGCACCAGACAAAAAAAAUACAUUACAGAUAGAUACAAAGAAGAUCCAGUGUUUCGGAGCAGACAAAAAUUUGACAUGUCUCGGAGGUACAACACAGAUCAAAGAUAUAGCCAAAAAAAAAAGGAAGAUUUAAAUCUUGGAUAUCAAAAUGAUUCAGAAUUUAGACGUCGUUUUAAUCAACGUUGUAACCGGCAGAGAGCAACCAAAUUGGCCACAAAUGCUGCCUUUAGCAUAUUUUACAAGAUGCAGAGAGCGCUUAGACUCAAGAAAAAAUACAGACAAAUUGUGCCCCACCGCCCCCAGCCCCUGAUUAAUCCACUGAUGGAAGCA
ensembl:lncRNA